rnacentral:rRNA from 1 species
UACGUAGGUGGCAAGCGUUGUCCGGAUUUAUUGGGUUUAAAGGGUGCGUAGGCGGCUUUGUAAGUCAGUGGUGAAAUAUGGCAGCUCAACUGUCAGGGUGCCAUUGAUACUGCGGAGCUUGAGUACAGAUGAGGUAGGCGGAAUUGACGGUGUAGCGGUGAAAUGCUUAGAUAUCGUCAAGAACACCGAUAGCGAAGGCAGCUUACUAGGCUGUAACUGACGCUGAGGCACGAAAGUGUGGGGAUCAAACA